AUUGAACGCUGGCGGAAUGCUUUACACAUGCAAGUCGAACGGCAGCACGGGGGCAGCCCUGGUGGCGAGUGGCGAACGGGUGAGUAAUACAUCGGAACGUGCCCGGUCGUGGGGGAUAACGUAGCGAAAGUUACGCUAAUACCGCAUACGAUCUGAGGAUGAAAGCGGGGGACCUUCGGGCCUCGCGCGAUCGGAGCGGCCGAUGUCAGAUUAGGUAGUUGGUGGGGUAAAGGCCUACCAAGCCGACGAUCUGUAGCUGGUCUGAGAGGACGACCAGCCACACUGGGACUGAGACACGGCCCAGACUCCCACGGGAGGCAGCAGUGGGGAAUUUUGGACAAUGGGCGCAAGCCUGAUCCAGCCAUUCCGCGUGCAGGACGAAGGCCUUCGGGUUGUAAACUGCUUUUGUACGGAACGAAAAGGCUCUGGCUAAUACCUGGGGCUCAUGACGGUACCGUAAGAAUAAGCACCGGCUAACUACGUG
rnacentral:rRNA from 1 species